ACAUGUCUGCAUCAUAUCGUUAAUGCACUAGAUCCCAUUAGAACUCUGUGGUUAAGAACGCUCAGGCUAGAGUAGUACUGGGAUGGGUAACCACCCAAGAAGUCCUAGUGUUUUACAUGCC
rnacentral:rRNA from 1 species